rnacentral:misc_RNA from 1 species
UGUGUGCCAUUUUCGCUCCGAAGGG